rnacentral:rRNA from 1 species
UACGUAGGUGGCAAGCGUUGUUCGGAAUUAUUGGGCGUAAAGGGUGCGUAGGCGGCCGUGCAAGUCUGGCGUGAAAGCCCCGGGCUCAGCCCGGGAAGUGCGCUCGAAACUGCGCGGCUCGAGUGCCGGAGGGGAGAGUGGAAUUCCUGGUGUAGCGGUGAAAUGCGUAGAUAUCAGGAGGAACACCGGUGGCGAAGGCGGCUACCUGGACAGAAACUGACGCUGAGGCGCGAAAGCUAGGGGAGCAAACAGG